ACACUAACAAUACAUCGUGUCAAACUAAAUCUAAAAAUGAGUUAUACACACAUUCACACUUAAGUACGAAUGAAGGUAUGCAUGAAUGUGUAUCCAUAGAAUAAAAACAAAAACAAAAAAAUAAUAAAAUUAAAUGAAACAAAGAAAACAAAAAAUGAUAAUAUGUGCAUACAUACAUAUGGUUGUAUUUGUAAUGGAAUUUCACACUAAUGCGGAUGAGAUAUUGUUUGAGUAUACUCACAGUAUACUGUGUUUGUAUGAAGCUGAACACAUACAUAUGACACUGACUGUGUGAAUCGUUUUUUAACGUCGUCGUCGUCUGUCUAUUGAAUUGGUUUUUGGCUCUGGCUGGUUCUUGGUUGAGAGUGUUUAAAGAGGGGGAAGGAAAACAAACGAACUAUUCGAUGAUAUUGCGUCAACAACUGAUCACAAACAAGUAUUUAUUUGAAACAUGGCAACAUGUAUAUUUUUAUACAUUUGUUGGUGGGUAUCAAACAAAAACCUGUUUGUCAACAGUAGACUCCCUGGUCAUGUAUAUUUAAAAAUGAAAUUAAAUGUAGGCGUUGUGGCGCUCUUUGCUUUUGCGGGCAAAAUAUGUACAUACGUAUAUAGCCUAUAAUAUAAAACUUCCUGGAUCAACCGCGCAUAAAAAAUAUGUUUUAUUUUGUGGUAUUCAUUUGAUUUUUAUAAAUAAAACUGCUUAACUUGGACUUUCCCUUGGAGGAAGCGAAUAGAUUUUUUGGAGCCAGUAACCACACAUCAGUUCGAUAUUAAAUUUCAACUUAAAACAAGGUGUCAUAUGAGUCGGACAGGGCCAAGUUUAUGAUGCACUACAGUAGUAUGUUAAAAAUUUAGAUUAUUUUUUUAUAAUAAAGCAUUUAAUUUGUUUUUUACUUCAAUUCCAAAAUAUUUUUACGAUUUGUUGGCGAAAAAUAUGGUUUAUAAAGAAGUAAGCGUAAAUAUGGACCUGUCCUUAUAAAUUUUAGUAGAGGUAUUUAAAUCUACGUUAAAGUUGUUUAUGCUUAUUAGUGUUUGAAAGUAAAUAGGUAUUGAGGCCCGAUUAUG